rnacentral:lncRNA from 1 species
UUUUGAUUUAGCCUAACAUCAGGCUAUAUUAAUUUGCUUAGAAGAUUUAUCCAAGAUAUUCAUACAUCCCUAUGUUAAUAGGCCUUCCGAAGCCCGACCCUUUAAAAGACAAUUGUUUCCAGAGACGAAUAGAGGCUGCGCUUCAUAAACACAUGGAACCUGCCCACAAAAUAGCCAAAUAGUUUAGUGUUUUGCUAAAUUCUGCUCUGGCUUGCUGCAUGGCCUAUCUCGCCAAAAAUCAAUGCUAGGCUGUCCUCAGAUUGGUAUUCAUGUUCAGCCUCAGAUCAUCCUAGUUAAUGUUACUUUGUUUUAUGAUUAAAUUCCUAGAAUUCUGCUUAUUUUUCUUAAAACUUGGUUCUUAUUCAUCCCCUUUCUGACUCUUUUUGGAUUGAACUUCUGACAAGUUUUUGGCCACUUGGAAAGCUCUGUUGGGCUCACCUCAGGUGCCCAGCUCCCAGCAUUAUGCCUUCCCAUCCCCAUGGAGAAAUUUAUAUCCUUCAGAGAUGGCCCCUCAGCCAACCUGUCCUCUCCUGCACCUUUGGAGCUUGGGUCACCAAUAGGAUGGUCCUUAAAAAAGGCUACCUCUGCGAAUGGAGCUGUUUGUCUCUCAUAAUUUGUGAUAUGCUGCAUCUAUUCUGAUGUCCACCAGAUAAAAGUACAUGCCAACACUGGGUGCAAACAUUGCACCUUAUCAGAUUCUGUGCAUCGUUACCUACUAUUAAGAAUUUUACUGGACUUUAGUUAAUAAUUUGCAACCCAAGAUAAUAAGACAAAUUCCUACUGUUGUGGUGUUUGGAAUUAUGAAAUCAUUAUACCGGGGCACCUGGGCAACUCAGUGGUUGAGCAUCUCCCUUUGGCUCAGGGCAUGAUCCCGGGGUCCUGGGAUCGAGUCCCACAUCAGGCUCCCCACAGGGAGCCUGCUUCUCCUUCUGACUGAGUCUCUGUCUCUCUCUCUCUCUCUCUGUGUCUCUUAUGAAUAAAUAAAAUCUUUAAAAAAAUCAUUAUACUAAAAGAGCCCAUAGACAUUCUCUAGUACAAUCCUUUCUCGAUAUCUAUGAGGAGCCCAGAGCCCAGAGCAGUUCCAUAACUUCUCUGAGGUCACACAGCAGCAGACUAAGACAUGAAAAUAUAAUCUCCUGCCUUUUAUUGUAUUUUUUUUUCUUUAUCACACUUUCAGUUUCAGUCUGAUAUAAAUAAUGCACAUACAUGUUGGUGAGAAAGCACACUUUUUGUCUUAGGGCCAUUCUAAGAAUAGCACUGAGCCCAGGAAAAUAAUCAUAGUCUGACAACUGCUCACAACAGCUCCCACUAGAGAGAAAGACAAGGCUCCAAACACGAGGAGGGGCAUCAGCUGUGGGGUGCUGGGAGAAGCUGGGCUGGGCGCUAUCGAGGGGCCCCCUGUCUAGUGGUGACAUGAAGCAGAUAGACAGCAAGUGUGACUGGGCUGUCUGCAGAGCUGGGGUGGGUGAAGGGGUUUCGAGGUGGUUAGUGGGUUGUUAUGACACGGUUUGUCACCUCUUGGACAGAAAUGAAAUGCAGCCGCGCCAGUGAGGCCAUUGUCCUUAUGUGAGAGACUGGCCCACCCCAGGUGCAGGCGGCUGCAAGGCCGGAAAGGGAAAUGCCAUUUUAUAAAGGAUUUUCUAGCACAUUAACUGCAUAAUUCCUCAGCAGGAUCGUGAGCUCGGUGCAAAGUGCAGCCUUCUCCCCCAUAAUUGCCAUGGUGGGAUUGCUUGCGGAAAGCCUUCAAAGCCCUUGCGAGAGGCACGGCCCAUCUCAGCACCCAGUGAGACGACGCCCUCGCGGCUCCUCUCUUCACCUUUCUUUUUAAGGCUGCCAAUCAAAAUCGUUUCCCAAAACUGGGCUAAUUUCACGAGACAAUCUGGCAUUAGCCCUUGCUGAUGUCUUCAAUGCACUUGACUAAGGGAUCCAGGCUUCAAAUGUCGAAUACGGGCUCUGAGUGUCAGCCCACACUCCAGGAGAGAGUCACAUGUCAAAAUAUAUUUCUUAUUAUGGGAGCCGAGCUGACCAAGGUCAGGAUUAUGAAGGUUUGACAGCCUUCCCAUUUUUCUUACUACGAUGAAGGAAAAAAAAAAAAAAAAAAAAAAAGAGUAAAUUGGCUAAAAGUGUCGGCUUGAGGGUAAAAACAGCCUGGGUUUGGAUGGAAGCAGGCUCCACCUCUUACUCCUCCAGGCCCAGUUUCCCCUCAGCCUGGGAGGCCCGGGUCUCAGCCCAAUUCUCCUCCAGCUGUAGCACAAUCCAGUCGCUGACUUAAGAAUGCCUACUUACCAAUAAAAAAUAAAUUUAUAAAAAAAAAAAAAAAAGAAUGCCUACCUACCGUUGACCACAGUGGUGGUAAGCCUCAGCCAGGACAAAUGACCCAGGCUUAACCCUCUGUACAUGUUAGAUAUUGUUAGGUUAGGCACCUGGGGGGCUCAGGUCACCUAGGUCAUGAUCCCGGGGUCCUGGGAUCGAGUCCCUGCAUUGGGCUCCUUGCACAGUGGAGAGCCUGCUUCUCUCUCUCCCUCUGCCUCUCCCCCCUACUCAUGCUCUCUCUCAAAUAAAUAAAUAAAAUAAUUUUUUAAAAAGGAUAUUGUUGUGUUGCUGGCACUUGCUUCAUAGGAUUAGUGCAUGAAUGUUUCCAUGCACCCAUCCUGCAGUUUUAGCGUUAAACUAUGAGUGAGGGUAAUGUAGGAGACUGUGGGGGCCCCUCGGGGUGCACCUGUUGGCUCGGUGGCAAGGGAACCAGGAGGUAAAUGGAGCCUUCUAGGGACAGGCGUGUAUGGUGGUGGUGAAUGAAGAUGCCAGGCUGAGAGACAUUUCAUGGAGAUGAGUAGGGUGUGUCGGAACAAAUGAUUUCUGUAGGACCGGGGAGGGGAGCUGUCCCCCUUCAAACUUCAGAGGAGUCAGGGGAGAGAAUGCAAACAUAGCAGAGGUGAAGUUUGCAUUUUUUUAUGCUGCUGAAUAUUUAUUUUCUGCCAUCUUUUCUCUCCAGAUCUAUGGACAUAAUUUACACAGGACCCCGAGGGUAAUUAAGCCAGCAAUUCCUUUGCCAGUGAAAUGAGAGAAGCCAGUUCUCAGUAAAUUCUGAAUUCCACUAUGGAUGUUGUAGAAACAGAACUAAAAACAGCUGCAGUUUAUCUGUGCUGCAGAAUUGACUAUAAUUUGCUGCCACUCUUACCCUUACCACAUAGCAAUCAGUGUACAGAAGUACAGAAUUUUAAGAUGAUGAAUGUUUUAUUUCUUAAAAUAAACAGUAGCAAUUUAGAAACACAUUUAUGUAUUUUACAUUUUUUUUAUAUAGUAAAAGUAUAUUGGAAACUUCCUUAGUGUCAAAAUCCUUACAUGCACUUGUCAAAAAUACCAAGAUGACAAGCUAAUAUGGAAUUCAGAUUUAAAUAAUAGACUUUUCAGGUAUAUUCCAUGAAACUUCUGAUUGUUUCGUUUGCACUGACCGAGCAAUGCCUAUUAUUUCCCUCGUGGUCAGGUGUCUUAAGUGUUUCAGACUGAAUAGCCAUAUUUUCCACAUGUUAGUACUGGACCAACGUGUGAGGUUUUCUUUUCUUUCUUAUUUCUUUUUUCCAAGUUAACUUUCGUCCAUCUAGAAAAUUCCAGUCACUGAGUAGGUUUGUUGGUUGGAGUG